UACGGAGGAUCCAAGCGUUAUCCGGAAUCAUUGGGUUUAAAGGGUCCGUAGGCGGCUUUAUAAGUCAGUGGUGAAAUCUGGCGGCUCAACCGUCAAAUUGCCAUUGAUACUGUAGGGCUUGAAUGUUUGUGAAGUAACUAGAAUAUGUAGUGUAGCGGUGAAAUGCUUAGAUAUUACAUGGAAUACCCAUUGCGAAGGCAGGUUACUAACAAAUGAUUGACGCUGAUGGACGAAAGCGUGGGGAGCGAAC
rnacentral:rRNA from 1 species